GCGGAUAUGGCGAAACUGGUAGACGCGCAGCACUAAGGAUGCUGUGGAGAAAUCCUUGGGGGUUCGAGUCCCCCUAUCCGCACCA
rnacentral:tRNA from 1 species